rnacentral:SRP_RNA from 1 species
GCCAGGCAUGGUGGUGCAUACUACCAUGAGGCUAAGAUUGGUGGAUCACUUGAGUUCAGGAGUUCUGAGUUGCAUCAGGUCUAAAGCUGAUUGAGAGUCUUCAUUAAGUCUGACACCAAUAGGUGAAUCCCUAGGAGCAGGGAGCCACUCAGUUACCUAAGGAAAGGUAAAUUGGCCCAGGUUGGAAAUGUAGAAGGUCAAAGUUUCCAUGCCAAUCAAUAGUGGAAUUGGGCCAAUGAAUGGAUGCUACCCUUCCAAUCUAUGCAAGAUAGGGAAAUCUGGUCUCAA